rnacentral:rRNA from 1 species
CUAACAUUUUAAUAAUUUUAUUUAAUUUAAAAAUUUAAAUUUCAAAAAUAGUAAAAAUGCUAUUCUUAAAGAGAAAGACGACAAGACCCUAUUGAACUUAACUUAAGUUUUACUGGGGUAGUAAAUUAAUUAUAAUUUUAAUACAGAUAUUUAUAUAAAAAUCCUACAAAUAGAAUCAACCAGUUACCAUAGGGAUAACAGCGCAAUUAUUUUUAUAAGUUCUUAUAUAAAAAAUAGAUUACGACCUCGAUGUUGAAUUAAUAACCUAAAUAAAGCAAAUUUUAAAAAAGGAAGUCUGUUCGACUUUUAAAAAAUUACAUGAUUUGAGUUCAGACCGGUGUAAGCCAGGUCGGUUUCUAUCUUCUAAAUAAUUUUAUGUAGUACGAAAGGACCCAUAAAUAUAAUAAAUAUUAAUCAUAUUGGCAGAAAAAUGCAUUAGAAUUAGAAUCUAAUUAAACUAAA